GGGUGGUUGUUUGUCCUUCCUUGCGGUGUAUUCUGUGCUGAGUGGGAGGGUCACGCUGUGUGAGACUAAUAAGGACAGAGCUGCAUCCCCCUCCACCACUCUUUGGAGACUCACUCCAGCAACUCCCCGGCACCACGGCAGCUCUGCACAGGCAUUCUUGGUGCUUCGGGGGGACAAACUAGAAUAAAAAUUAAAGAUUUGUAGCUGAUUGUUCACAUGUGUCCAGGGGGAGAUGAAGUACACUGGAUCCUGCAUAGUUUGGCUUUGUAUGGGAGUCUUCCUCCUCCUCCCUGUUUCUACUUGUGUGGCUGUCAGUGACCAGACAGGUGCUGUGUGUCCUUUAAUAAAAACAGUUGUUCAUCAUCUCAAACAAUUCAACAGAGACAGUCUUGGUGUGUCAGGGUUUGAUCUGGCAGAAAGCUUUUCUUUGAGACAGACGUCUUGUGGAGGGGAAAAAAUCUGCUUUAAACUGGGAAGUGCUCCUCUCAUCAGAGACACGAAGCAAGUAUUUCCAAAUGGGCUUCCUGAAGAAUACUCUCUAGUUGCUACGUUCCGUGUACGGCGAAAUACCAAGAAAGAGCGUUGGUAUAUAUGGCAAAUUUUAAAUCAGCAUGACACUCCUGAGAUCUCUGUCCUUCUGGAUGGUUCAAAAAAGGUCGUGGAGUAUAUGACCAAAUCCGCACAGGGAAAUAUACUGCACUACACUUUUAAGAGUCGAGAAAUUUAUCCAUUGUUCGAUCGGCAGUGGCAUAAACUUGGUAUUAGCGUGCAGUCGGGGAUCAUUUCCCUCUAUUUGGAUUGUAAUUUAAUUGAGAGAAAGCAGACUGAUGAAAAAUUCACCAUUGACUUGCAGGGAAGGACUCUGAUUGCUUCUCGUGCUGCAGAUGAUAAGCCUGUAGAUAUUGAACUUCACCGCAUAACAAUUUAUUGUAAUCCAAACGUUGUAACGGAAGAUACGUGUUGUGAAAUAUCUGCAGAUCUGUGCCCACAUGAAGACAGAUUACUUGCUACUACUUCAUCACCAGUGACUGUUCAUGCCAGCAAAAUAUACACACUUCCAGGAACACAGCAAGAAUCUAGAGACAGAUGCCACUGCUUUCCAAAUAAAGGAGAAGCAGGAUUACCAGGAGUAGCUGGUUUGCCAGGCCAGAAAGGAAGUAAAGGUGAAAAGGGUGAGAUGGGUGCAAAAGGACAGGAUGGUGUUGCUGGUCUUCCUGGUGAAAAGGGGGAACCUGGCUUAGUGGGUGUUCCUGGCAUACCUGGUCUUACUGGUUCCAAGGGUGAACGUGGCUUUGCAGGUAGUAAAGGUGAAGAGGGUGAAAAGGGUGAAAAAGGAGAUAAAGGAGAACCAGGACCAGAAGGCAUUCAUGGAAGAGAGGGACUCAAAGGUGACCCUGGUAGUCCUGGUUUGUCUGGUCCCAAAGGAGAAAAGGGAGAUGUGGGACCACCAGGACCAAUGGCUUUAAGUGGUUUGCCAGGGCUGGAGGGUCCCCAGGGUCCACCUGGCAAAGAAGGUCAAAGGGGAAGACGAGGCAAGCCAGGCCUCCCUGGAAAACCAGGACCGCCAGGACCUCCUGGUCCUUCUGGACUAAAAGGAAUUCUGGAUUCAUUGAACAAGCAUUAUAAUGAGAGUGAUACAAGACUACUAGGAUUACUUGGGACCCCUGGACAUAAAGGCCAGAAGGGAGAAAUCGGUCAAAAAGGAGAAGUGGGAAUGACUGGCGCAAAGGGAGAAAAGGGAGAGCCUUCUGAAAAAGGGGACAAGGGAGAUCCAGGAGAAACUGGAAUGGAGGGAUCAAAAGGAGAUAAGGGUGAAACAGGAGACCCUGGACCACCUGGUCUCACUGGAAAUCCAGGAUCAAUGGGACUGCAAGGACCUCCAGGACCUGUUGGGCCCAGGGGACUGCCAGGAGAAGUCGGCUUACCAGGAGAACAUGGGUUACCAGGAAAUCCAGGAGUUAAAGGAGAAAAGGGGGACCCUGGUGGGAUUAUAGGACCACCUGGACAUCCAGGUCCAAAAGGUGAGGUGGGGCCUCCUGGACCAAGUCUGCCUGGAACACCAGGUCCUAUUGGUAGUCCUGGAAGCCCAGGUCCACGGGGACCAAAGGGAGAAAGAGGACUACCUGGUGUACAAGGAGCCCCUGGGGAGAUGGGGCCUCCUGGAAUAGGCGUUCAGGGAUCACCAGGUCCUAUAGGGCCAACUGGAUCAGCAGGUGUUCAGGGUCCUAGGGGGCCUCCAGGAUUACCAGGAACACCAGGUACCCCGGGUAUUAAUGGCAGCCCAGGAAGGGAUGGAAAGCCAGGACUACCAGGCCCUCCAGGCGAUCCUAUUGCACUGCCACUAGUGGGAGACAUGGGUGCUAUAUUGAAGGGUGAUCCCGGCACAAGAGGUCCUCCAGGCAUCCCUGGUAGAGAGGGGCCAAAGGGAAGCAAAGGUGAACGUGGAUUUCCUGGGCUUGCUGGAGAGAAGGGCGAUGAGGGCCUUCAAGGUGUUCCUGGACUGCCUGGUGUACCAGGACCCAGUGGACCAUCUGGAGCCAUAGGAAGACCUGGGCAUCCUGGUCCAGCUGGGUCAAAAGGUGAAAAGGGUAGUGAAGGUUCUCCUGGGAAGCCUGGACCACCUGGACCUCCGGGUAUGCCUUACAAUGAAAGAAAUGGAAUGAGCAGCUUAUAUAAACUCCAGGGAGGUGUGAGUGUCGCAAGUUAUCCAGGUCCACCAGGACCUCCAGGUCCAAAAGGAGAUCCUGGCACAGUGGGAGACCCAGGACCAAUGGGAUUACCAGGACUGGAAGGACUCCCAGGGGAAAAGGGUGACCGUGGACCAGCUGGCACACCAGGAGUAUCAGGGACACCGGGAAAGCCAGGAUCUCCAGGGUCCCCAGGGAUGCCAGGAGAACCUGGUGAAAGAGGACCUAUAGGAGAUAUAGGCUUCCCAGGGCCAGAAGGGCCACAAGGAAAACCAGGAAUCAAUGGAAAAGAUGGAUUGCCAGGUCCUCCGGGUGCUGUGGGGAGACCAGGAGACCGAGGGCCCAAAGGAGAACGUGGAGAUCAGGGUAUUCCAGGAGACAAAGGUCCACAAGGUGAAAGAGGGAAACCUGGCCCAUCAGGAGAAAAGGGGGCCAUGGGUCCUACUGGGCCACCAGGAGACAGAGGCCAUCCAGGAUCACCAGGUCAUCAAGGUCCCCCAGGUUCACCAGGCCCCCCGGGUUUACUGGCUGAUACAGUUUCACUUGAAGAAAUAAAAAAAUAUAUCAAACAAGAGGUUCUUAAGGUUUUUGAAGAAAGGAUGGCUCAGUUUGUAUCCCAGUUGAAGCUGCCUGCUGCAAUGCUUGCCUCCCAAGCUCAUGGAAAACCAGGACCCCCAGGAAAAGAUGGACUACCAGGGCCCCCAGGAAAGGAUGGUUUACCAGGGCCACCUGGAGAACGUGGGCUUCAAGUUUGGUCUGCUCUGGAGUCAGAGCAAGUCAGACUGGAAUGAAGAACAUGAAAGCAAAACUGAAGAUGUGUGGAUCCUAAAGCUAUCAGAAGAAUAAAGACUUACUAACAUUGAUAAACGCAAACCCCUGACAGAAGCUUGAAAAAUGAGAUGAGCUCAGAAUGAGAAGAACAAGAAUAAAGGAUCAAGGAAAACAAUAAAGCCUUAGAAUCUUACAGCACUGACUUCAUCAUUAUCUGAAUAUUCAGAUCACUGUAAACAGUCACCUUUAAUGUCAGUGGCAGAUUGUUCAAUGAAUAUGUAUGUGGUGGAUAGUCUCAGAUGCUUCUGGGAAGUAGAUUGUUAUACUAGGCUUCAUUUCCAGCUAGUGAGCAUCAAAAGUAAAGGUGAUAGCUGUGCUUGAAAAAAAUAAAGCUGCUUUUUCAUGCCUUAUGCUUAAGCAAAAGUAGUGCCCCAUGUACACAAAAUUCCAUUUAUUUUAUCAAUACGCUCAAUAGUCUUUAUUCACAAGCAUUAAGCUAAGUGAGAAGCAUUUACUUCUCUUUCAAUACUUUAAUAAUCAUAAAAAGCAUUUACAUUUUUUCUCUUUUGAUAUAUCAAGAGAUAUAGAAAAUCAUACUUCAAAGGCAAGAAAACCAAAAAUUUGUCUUGCCUCCUUAUUACACUAUGAGUAAGAGAGAUUAUCAUGAGAGAAGCACACUUACAAGUACAUUUCAUGCCUUUCCCAGUUGUGCCUGUGCGUCUUGUUGUUUUGUGCCAACAGCUAAAAAGAAAUUCAAAUCUCUGAGCAGACUGGAAAGUAUCCUUGCAUAUUUCAGUUUAUUUUCAACCAUAAAGGACAGAGCAGACAAGACUUCUUGGAGAAGCAUGUUAUGUGCAUGUGUGUCUGAGACCAUCGAGGUAGCAUGCUGUGUAUGUCCAAGUCAGUGAGGAAGCAUGUUAUGUUCACCUACCCAUCUGGGAGGCCAGACAGAUAAUGUGCAUUGGGGGUAUUUGGUGUUGACUGCCAGUUAUUCGUUGUUGUGGUUCUCACUCGGUUGCAGCCCAGAUUGCCAGAUUUUUAAUAGGGUUUUUCUGUGCAAAGUAAUGCACAUCUGUGCUACCAGAGCAAAACAGUUAGUCACUUGUCCAAAAAUGUUAGUGAAAAAUAAUAAUAAUAAUAGAUAGUUUUGAAUAGGACAAACACCUCCAGAGUAGUUUGUGAUGCUGCAUGCUGAGCAAAGCUCUGGCCAGUGGGAGGGACCAGGCGUUGCCAUGUGUUCGAGGAGGUGCUUAACUUGCAGCUUCGCAGAGUCCCUCCAGUGUGGUCUGCUUCCUCAGGAGUCAGUCUGCUCUGAUGCUACCCAAGCAGCAGAGGAGGAAGCCUCCUGCCCAGUAAACUCACAGGUAGGGGUUAGACUCAGAAGCAGAAAACACAGGUGUUAAGUCUAGGAAGCGCGGGCGUGGUCUUCAAAAAGCGUAUAUAAAGAGUUGCUAGGCUCUUGCAAAAAAAAUACCAAAGAGUUGCAAAAUAAAUGAUGAAAUAUGCAAUUGGUAUUUAAACAGGUUGUAUAGUAGUGAUUGGAAUAUCUCUCCAUAUAUAUUUCUUCUUAAAAAAAUAACCUAUGGCAUAUGCAUCAGUAAGCUGAUACUGUGAGGCAGUGUUACCAGCAUUAUAAAGGAUGCUAGAGUCUUGUAGAGAAGGAAUACAUUUAUUUCAAGAUUUUACUGACAAGUUAUAACAAUGCCAUCCAUCUGCAGGCAGUCAGACUGCCAGGUGUUACAGGAAGUAGUUCAAUUGGCUCCGUUGAUUUAACUGUAUUUUCUAAGCUAUAAUAGAAUAUGAAUUUUGGUCCAUCAGACAAAAUUCCCUUUGGAGAAUUUGGUAAUCCAGAGAUGCAUAUUAUAUUUUACAUUAAUAUGAUCUUUCUCAUAUGGAAAUAAGUAUUCAUCCUAGUUAAGCUUCGCUAAUUUUAUCAAAAUCAGGAAACCUAAGAGUCCUCGUAGCUCAUGGUAGCCUCAAGGAAUCAGGAAA